GUUUGAUGUUAACCGUGCACUCGUAACCUGUUGUCCGAGUUCAUCGCAGCAACCACGCGAGCUGAAGGCCAUAACUCCAUGUCGUCUUGCCCUUGAGGAUAAAGUUUUGGGUAACAAAGUGAUAGUGGCAGAUGGUAUGGCGUACCCAUUGGAUGGUUCGUUGCACCAACACUUUAGAUCGAUGAAGCCUAGUCAUUAUAAGGUCCAAGUUGAUUGUAUUUACGACGGACAUGAUGAUGACACUCUUCCGGUACCUACUGGAGAUGGAUUCAAUAACUUAGGCAGGGCUCUUGCUAGUUUUGUGCAAUGGCCAAUUCACUUGGUGAUUUUCGAAGAAGACGAGGACUCUACUCCACGCCCAACAAAGAAGUCCA